ACUCACUCUCCUUAGUGUCACUGGACUGACCAAUAGAAGGGACACUCACCUUGUUUCCUCUGGGAAAAUAAUGAGUCACAAUAUUUAAUAUUGCUAAUGAGGAAACCACCUGUGACACACACUCAUGCAUGCUAGGCUCUGUAUUCAAUAAAGAGUGCUGAUUGAGUGAAUGGCUUGGAUGCUGGCUGCUUGGUUGAUUGAUUUCAAGCAUUCAACCAAAUGAUGCUAAUAGUGUUUACUAUAACAAGAAAGGUCAAUCUGCAAAACUGUAACUAGCAAUUUGUUCACCUGCGUCAAGCGGCAGGAUCUGGGCAGAGAAGGCAUUCUGAGGAGGGGGGGAGGGGAAGGGAGGCGCAAGAAACUUACCCUGGAGAUACCAUUAGUUUCUGAGUUGUUGAAAAGGGAAGAGGCAGACCAUUCUAAACAGUCACUAGAAGCCAGAGGAAGAGGAGGCUGGCAGAGAUAGAGCAGGAAGCUUUAAUGUUCAUUACCCUCUAAACUUCCCACCCUGGGAAACAGCCUCACUUUCUCCACCCUAGUAAUGGCUAAUGAAGUAGAUAUUCUUUUGUGGGAUACUUUACUCAGUGGGAGGAAAAACAGGGAUAUUCUGGGGAAAAGGAAGGCAGAGGUUGGCUUGUUAGGGAGAGGGGAAUUCGUGUAGAAGAAGGAAGAGAUGAGUGUCUUAGGAGUGCUGAGCACAAUGCCUGACGCUCAACAAAUGCCUGUCGAUUGAUGGAAGAUAUUCAAUUUUAGCUGGAGAAUGCUCCAAAUGCUGUCGUGUACAGGAGGAAUCCUCAUUUCACUGCUGCUGCUGAUAAUGAGAGAAAGAGGACACCGUUACAUUGUUGGUUCAAGACUAUAACUCUUGGACUCCAUAACUCCAGUGUGGGUUUUGUCACAAAUCUUCUCUUGUUUUCCAACUUCAGCCAGUACUUUAUUUUAAAGAGGAUGAAACAUUUUUACAGAGGUUUUACCUACAUACAAAGUGGAUGGCAGAGGUUGAAGCUUAAAUCUGGAUCUUCUGACAUUGUUCAUCAGCCUGAUUUUGUGAGAGAUGAGCAGCAGUCAGGUAAACUAUUCCUUGUUCCCCUAAUGAAGAGGCAGUUCUAGAGUGAAGAAAUGAGAGCUGUCAACAACCAUAUGAAAAAAUUCUCCAGAUCACUAAUAGAGAAAUGCAAUUAAAACAAGUCUAUAUCACACUCAUAAUGGCAAAGAUGAUGGAAGAGGAGAAUGGCAUUUCUUGAACAGUGUGAGGUUAGACACACUAACACAUUGGUAAUAAGGUUGUGAAUUGUUCUAACCACUCUGGAAAACAAUAUCUCAAGUCACUUAAGUGUAUAUACCCUUUAGCACAGCAAUACCAUAGUAGGUUAAUAACCUGAAGAGAUUUUUAAUGUACAUAAAAAAUGUUCAAAAAUAUUUAUAGUAGCACUUUUUUCUUGUAGCAAG
rnacentral:lncRNA from 1 species